rnacentral:rRNA from 1 species
AUGGCGACAGCAGUUGCAGCCUACCGACGGCAAACAUGGCGGCCUCCACGCUCGAAUCUUAGUGGAGAAUAUGCGGGCAAGGAUGGUCGAAGCUAUCCACGGCGCGGCCGGGAUGGCUGGAGGAAGCAAGAAUCGCUGGAGAAUUGGGGAACGGGUGGAGGCGGUACGGCGGGCGGGCGUGGAAAGUUUCCUCCCGCCAAGACACAAGAUUUGGAUAGGGGAAACCGCAAUGGAGGAAAGGAUAACAAAAGAUUUGAUGGCUGGGGACAAUUUUUACAACUCGCCCUAAAAAGUUCGCGGGCCGACCGAAUAUAA